rnacentral:rRNA from 1 species
GUCCACGCCCUAAACGAUGUCAACUAGGUGUUGGGGAGGCGAUUUCUUCAGUACCGUAGCUAACGCGCGAAGUUGACCGCCUGGGGAGGUACGGCCGCAAGGUUAAAACUACAAAGGAAUUGACGGGGACCCGCACAAGCGGUGGAUGAUGUGGAUUAAUUCGAUGCAACGCGAACAACCUUACCUACCCUUGACAUGUCCGGAACCCUGCUGAGAGGUGGGGGUGCCUGAAAGGGAAUCGGAACACAGGUGCUGCAUGGCUGUCGU